rnacentral:lncRNA from 1 species
UUUCUCUGUGUAAGAAUAUUGGAAAAUACAGAGACUCACAGGUGACUCUGGACCUACAGCAUCAGUGCCCAUCUCUGCCGGAAAUUUGCUUCAAGAUCACUUCCUGUCUGUCACUGGGCCAGAGCAGACUCGGGAAGAGGCUGCCUGGUCCAGCAACCCUGAUAACUCUUCCAGACCAGUGAUUCUGGUAAUUGUCCUUGUUCCUGAAGUCCCAGCACUUGUGACAUUUAAGCUCAGUUCCAAAUUAGUCCCUUACUCCCCUUUUGGAGGAAUGAAGAGGAGAAGAGGGAGGAGAGAUGAUGCUUCUGUGGCUUUUCUUCUGUCUGAACAGUGCCAAUGUGGAUCUCCCAUAAUUUCAUUGAAAUUUCAAGCAUCAUGAUUCUGCCACCACUAAAACCUUACUAGCCUUGCUGUCUAUGGAGUGGACUAGACUUGUAUAAUUGAUUAAAUAAUUAAAGAAAUAAUAAGAUUAAAAAGAGUUGUGAAUUUCAUUUGAUAAGGUUUCACUUGAUAAAAUAAUGCACACACAAGAUGUAUUUUACAUUUUAUUUCUAAUGCCUACAACAUGAUGAUAUAAGUGAAUAUUUAAAAAAAAAAUUCAGAGGUUAGAGCUAUGUGAAAUUUAGGAAUCACCUGAAUCUACCGUCUUUUUUAAAGAUAUGAAAACAGAUGCCCAGGCUGGCGAGACACAAGAAUUAGUUGAAUAUGUAGGCAUCUUAGCUCUCUCCAGGCCAAGGACUUUUCUAGUUAAUAUUGAUGCUUCUUACAUCUUAAAUCAAGUGGGUUAUUAGAAAACUUGAGUUUCACUAAUUUAUUUAAUCAGUUGUACAGAAAUGUAGGAUAAUAGGUUCCAAACUUAUGGUAGUAACUGUAAAAAUAGUGUUAAAAAUGAGUUAGCUCCAGGGUCUUCUCUCUUGAAAUUAUUUGAUUUCAAACAGUUUUAAGUCUCUUUCUUUGUCUGCUCCCCCUUCUCCUCUUCUCCCGCUUUCCCUCUAUUGUAAUGAUUGUUUUAGGUGGUUGGUGUGCAUCUUGGUACUUGGUUGCCUGAAAUUAAAUACACUUCCCCAAGAAGUGUACAUUUGUAUUCAAAAUGAUUUUUGUUUAAUUUAGGAAGAGUGAAUAAAUUCACAUAGCAAGAUUUGUCA